rnacentral:rRNA from 1 species
GGGGAGCUUGCACAGGUGCUGCAUGGCUGUCGUCAGCUCGUGUCGUGAGAUGUUCGGUUAAGUCCGCUAACGAGCGCAACCCUCACUGUGUGUUAUAUGUGUCACACGGGACCGCCGGUCUUAAGCCGGAGGAAGGUGGGGAUGACGUCAAGUCAGCAUGGCCUUUAUAUCCUGGGCUACACACACGCUACAAUGGCCAACACAAUAGGUCGCUAAGCCGCGAGGUGGAGCCAAUCCAUAAAGUUGGUCUCAGUUCAGAUUGCAGGCUGCAACCCGCCUGCAUGAAGAUGGAGUUGCUAGUAACCGCAGGUCAGCUAUACUGCCGGUGAACUACGUUCCCGGGGCUU